rnacentral:rRNA from 1 species
UACGUAGGGUGCGAGCGUUAAUCGGAAUUACUGGGCGUAAAGCGUGCGCAGGCGGUUUUGUAAGACAGGCGUGAAAUCCCCGAGCUUAACUUGGGAAUUGCGCUUGUGACUGCAAGGCUAGAGUAUGUCAGAGGGGGGUAGAAUUCCACGUGUAGCAGUGAAAUGCGUAGAGAUGUGGAGGAAUACCGAUGGCGAAGGCAGCCCCCUGGGACGUCACUGACGCUCAUGCACGAAAGCGUGGGGAGCAAACAGG